rnacentral:rRNA from 1 species
UACGGAAGGCAGCAGUGGGGAAUAUUGCACAAUGGGCGAAAGCCUGAUGCAGCUAUGCCGCGUGUAUGAAGAAGGCCUUAGGGUUGUAAAGUACUUUUCAUCGGGGAGGAAAAACAAAACUAAUAAUUUUAUUUCUUGACGUUACCCGAAAAAGAAGCACCGGCUAACUCCGUGCCAGCAGCCGCGGUAAUACGGAGGGUGCUAGCGUUAAUCAGAAUUACUGGGCGUAAAGAGCACGUAGGUGGUUUUUUUAAAGUCAGAUGUGAAAUCCCUGGGCUUAACCUGGAACUGCAUUUUGAAACUGAAAUACUAGAGUAUCGUAGAGGGAGGUAGAAUUCUAGGUGUAGCGGUGAAAUGCGUAGAUAUCUGGAGGAAUACCUGUGGCGAAAGCGGCCUCCUAAACGAAUACUGACACUGAGGUGCGAAAGCGUGGGGAGCAAACAGGGAUUAGAUACC